rnacentral:rRNA from 1 species
AUUAGAUAAAAAGCCAGUUCAUGCUUUUACAGUAUGAAAAUUGGUGAUUUAUAAUAACUUAGCAAAUCGCAAAGUGAAAACAGGCGAUAAAUCAUUCAAGUUUCUGACCUAUCAGCUUUCGACGGUAUGGUAUUGGCUUACCGUGGCAGUGACGGUUAACGGGGGAUUAGGGUUCGAUUCCGGAGAGGGAGCCUGAGAAACGGCUACCACAUCUAAGGAAGGCAGCAGGCGCGCAAAUUACCCAAUUCUAACAGUUUGAGAGAGGUAGUAACAAGAAAUAACAAUACAAGGCAGUUAAAAUGCUUUGUAAUUGGAAUGAUAGAAAUUUAAACCCUUUUUAAAGUAUCAAUUGGAGGGCAAGUCUGGUGCCAGCAGCCGCGGUAAUUCCAGCUCCAAUAGCGUAUAUUAAAAUUGUUGCAGUUAAAAAGCUCGUAGUUGAAGUUCUGCUGAAAGUAACCGGUCUGCUUUUAAUAAAAGUGGUAUCUUGGUAUGUAUUUAGCAAUGAUGUCCUUUGAAGUGUUUUUUACUUUAUUGUAAUAAAGCAUAUUCAGGACUUUUACUUUGAGAAAAUUAGAGUGUUUCUAGCAGGCUGACGCUUUGAAUACUGCAGUG